AAAUUGAAGAGUUUGAUCAUGGCUCAGAUUGAACGCUGGCGGCAGGCCUAACACAUGCAAGUCGAACGGUAACAGGAAGCAGCUUGCUGCUUCGCUGACGAGUGGCGGACGGGUGAGUAAUGUCUGGGAAACUGCCUGAUGGAGGGGGAUAACUACUGGAAACGGUGGCUAAUACCGCAUAACGUCGCAAGACCAA
rnacentral:rRNA from 11 species